CCUCUGCUUCACCUUCGCAUCGUUUAUAGAGUGAGAGGCGGAGCCUGAGAGAGUGGCCUUUGCAACAGAGGGAGGGCAGACCCCAGUGCCUGAGAGAGAGAGUGUGAGAGCUCGAAGAGCACGAGAGAGAGAGUGAGAGAAAGACCCAAAAGCAAUUGAGAGAGAGAGCCAAGGUACCCACUAGCAAAAAAAUGGCGCUAAGCAUCAACCAAAGCUCAUUUUUUGGCACACUGGGUAUAAAGAGAGCAGUUAAUGGUUCUCGCAGGCGAGUCCAGGUGCGCCAUGGGGUCGAGCUUAGGUGCCAGGUUGUUAGUGAGAGAGAGAGAAGGGCCAUUGUGAAGAGAGAGAUUGAUUCAUUGGAUAUUUGCAGAGUAGUGAAUGGGAUGUGGCAGACAAGUGGGGGUUGGGGUCGAAUAAAUCGCGAUGAUGCUGUCGAUGCUAUGCUUCAAUAUGCUGAUAAUGGGUUGUCCACCUUUGAUAUGGCUGAUCACUAUGGGCCGGCAGAGGAUUUGUAUGGGAUUUUCAUCAACAGAGUUCGACGAGAGCGCCCACCCGAGUUACUUGAUCAAGUCAGAGGUCUUACAAAGUGGGUGCCCCCUCCAGUCAAAAUGACAGCUAGCUAUGUCAAGGAGAACAUCAACAUUUCUAGAAAGAGAAUGGAUGUACCAUGUUUGGACAUGCUCCAGUUUCACUGGUGGGAUUAUUCAAAUCCUGGGUAUCUUGAUGCACUAAAGCACCUCACUGAUCUAAAGGAAGAAGGUAAACUAAAGACAUUGGCUUUGACAAACUUUGAUACUGAGAGGUUACAUAUAAUCCUUGAAAAUGGGAUUCCAAUAGUUAGUAACCAAGUUCAACACUCUGUCGUCGAUAUGCGUCCCCAACAGCGGAUGGCUGAACUUUGUCAGCUCACCGGAGUCAAACUGAUAACGUCUCUAUCUAUCUAUCUAUCUAUUAUCUAUCUAUUCCAUCUGUCUAUGUUUAGAUGUAUGGGACAGUGAUGGGAGGCCUCUUGUCUGAGAAGUUUCUCGAUGCCAAUUUGGCUAUUCCUUUUGCUGGUCCCCCAUUAAAUACUCCUUCCCUUCAAAAAUAUAAAAGGAUGGUUGAUGCAUGGGGAGGAUGGAAUCUCUUUCAGUCUCUAUUGCAAACACUAAAGAAGGUAGCAUCCAAACAUGGGGUCUCUAUUACAACCGUAGCAGUUAGAUAUAUACUGGAUCAGCCAUCGGUUGCAGGAUCCAUGGUAGGUGUGAGACUUGGUCUUUCUGAGCAUAUCAAAGACUGCAACUCCAUACUUUCACUUGUUCUAGAUGAUGAAGAUAAGAGCAGCAUAACAGAAGUAUCCAAGAAAGGAAGAGAUCUUCAACAAGUCAUUGGAGAUUGCGGAGAUGAAUACAGGCGUGCUUAACGAGACUUGUAUUUGAUGCAAUUUUUCUGUUGCAGAAUAGAAUUUCAAGAACUUGAACAGUCAUAAAUAUACCUUUUUUAUAUCCACUGAAUCUAAAUCAAAUGCACAAUGAUAAUAAACUUGUGACCAUUGGCCUUUUUUAUGGAAUACAAAUAAUAACAAAAUAAAGA